rnacentral:rRNA from 1 species
GAUGAACGCUGGCGGCGUGCCUAAUACAUGCAAGUCGAGCGAACAGAUGAGGAGCUUGCUCCUCUGACGUUAGCGGCGGACGGGUGAGUAACACGUGGAUAACCUACCUAUAAGACUGGGAUAACUUCGGGAAACCGGAGCUAAUACCGGAUAAUAUAUUGAACCGCAUGGUUCAAUAGUGAAAGACGGUUUUGCUGUCACUUAUAGAUGGAUCCGCGCCGCAUUAGCUAGUUGGUAAGGUAACGGCUUACCAAGGCAACGAUGCGUAGCCGACCUGAGAGGGUGAUCGGCCACACUGGAACUGAGACACGGUCCAGACCCCUACGGGAGGCAGCAGUAGGGAUUCUUCCGCAAUGGGCGAAAGCCUGACGGAGCAACGCCGCGUGAGUGAUGAAGGUCUUCGGAUCGUAAAACUCUGUUAUUAGGGAAGAACAAAUGUGUAAGUAACUAUGCACGUCUUGACGGUACCUAAUCAGAAAGCCACGGCUAACUACGUG